rnacentral:misc_RNA from 1 species
UCUUUUUAUCUCAUAAAUAUAAUUAAAGAAUAAUAUGUAAUCUAUAUAUAAUUUGAAAAGUAUGCGAAAGUUUUGCUUAGUAAAAUAAUAUAGGUUAUUAUUGUCUUGAUGUUCUAUUUACUUUUAUUGGUAAAUUGUAUUUUUCGAGAUAAUAAAUGUUUGAUUUCGGUCAAAAUCCAUCUAGCAAUUGUUUCCAAUGUUACUUCUGAUCCCAAUCUUUACUCGAACCUAAAAGGCAAUAGCUUACGGUUCAAAAAUUUUUCUAGUAUGUCAAACAAACCAUUUAAAAUAUGUUUUAUAUUUAAAUAUUUAAGCAUAAACGGUGAAUACCUCGACUCCUAAAUCGAUGAAGACCGUAGCAAACUGCGAUAAUUCACUUGAAUUGCAGCCUACUGGGAUAGUUGAAAUGUUGAACGCACAUGAUGACAUUGGUCCUUCCGGAUUAAGUGUUAUACCUGGGUGAGAGUGGCUUUUAAACCAAUCAUAAUCAAAUGAUUUUAUUACGCAAGUAACAAUAUCUUUGAGAAUGACUUGUAUUGCGAAUUAAGACCUUCAGAUUAACCUCACGGAAGAUUUGUAGACUUGAUUUUCUUUACAUUUUUACGGUACUCCGUAGUAAUUGCUCACAGUCAUUCUUUAUAUAGUCUUUGAUUAAACUAUUUUCGCAUAGUUUUUUCAACAUGAGACCUUAUUGAAAGUCUAACUUGUCAAGUAGAAAACCGAAUUGAUUUAUCACUUUGUUUUCAAAAGACUAAUCUGACAAGUAUAUUUGGAAAUCUAGAUUAAACUGAUUAUUAAUCUAUCAAAGACAUAAUAUUUUGAAUAACAAAAACUGUUUAGUUGGUUCCGAUUAGCAUAGAGUGUUACUCUUUUUAGACUAUUUAUUGAACCCAUGACUUUAUAUGU